CGCCCUUUGAGUUUGAUCCUGGCUCAGAUUGAACGCUGGCGGCAGGCUUAACACAUGCAAGUCGAGCGGUAACAGAGAGUAGCUUGCUAUUCUGCUGACGAGCGGCGGACGGGUGAGUAACGCGUAGGAAACUGCCUGGUAGUGGGGGAUAGCCCAGAGAAAUUUGGAUUAAUACCGCAUACGCCCUACGGGGGAAAAGGGGCUUUCUUCGAACCUCGUGCUAUUAGAUGAGCCCGCGUAAGAUUAGCUUGUUGGUGGGGUAAUGGCCUACCAAGGCGACGAUCUUUAGCUGGUCUGAGAGGAUGAUCAGCCACACUGGAACUGAGACACGGUCCAGACUCCUACGGGAGGCAGCAGUGGGGAAUAUUGCACAAUGGGGGAAACCCUGAUGCAGCCAUGCCGCGUGUGUGAAGAAGGCCUUCGGGUUGUAAAGCACUUUCAGUUGUGAGGAAAGGGUAGCGGUUAAUACCCGUUAUCUGUGACGUUAGCAACAGAAGAAGGACCGGCUAACUCCGUGCCAGCAGCCGCGGUAAUACGGAGGGUCCGAGCGUUAAUCGGAAUUACUGGGCGUAAAGCGCACGCAGGCGGUUUGUUAAGUUAGAUGUGAAAGCCCCGGGCUUAACCUGGGAAUAGCAUUAAAACUGGCAGGCUAGAGUCUUGGAGAGGGGAGUGGAAUUUCUGGUGUAGCGGUGAAAUGCGUAGAUAUCAGAAGGAACAUCAGUGGCGAAGGCGACUCCCUGGCCAAAGACUGACGCUCAUGUGCGAAAGUGUGGGUAGCGAACAGGAUUAGAUACCCUGGUAGUCCACACCGUAAACGCUGUCUACUAGCUGUUUGUGGAUUUAAUCCGUGAGUAGCGAAGCUAACGCGAUAAGUAGACCGCCUGGGGAGUACGGCCGCAAGGUUAAAACUCAAAUGAAUUGACGGGGGCCCGCACAAGCGGUGGAGCAUGUGGUUUAAUUCGAUGCAACGCGAAGAACCUUACCUACUCUUGACAUCCAGAAGAUUUAGCAGAGAUGCUUUAGUGCCUUCGGGAAUUCUGAGACAGGUGCUGCAUGGCUGUCGUCAGCUCGUGUCGUGAGAUGUUGGGUUAAGUCCCGCAACGAGCGCAACCCUUGUCCUUAGUUGCCAGCCUUUUAGUUGGGCACUCUAAGGAGACUGCCGGUGAUAAGCCGGAGGAAGGUGUGGAUGACGUCAAGUCCUCAUGGCCCUUACGGGUUGGGCUACACACGUGCUACAAUGGUAGUGACAAUGGGUUAAUCCCAAAAAGCUAUCUCAGUUCGGAUUGGAGUCUGCAACUCGACUCCGUGAAGUCGGAAUCGCUAGUAAUCGCAAAUCAGAAUGUUGCGGUGAAUACGUUCCCGGGCCUUGUACACACCGCCCGUCACACCAUGGGAGUUGGAUCUACCCGAAGGCCGUAGCUUAACCUUCGGGAGGGCGGUUACACGGUGGGGUUCAUGACUGGGGUGAAGUCGUAACAAGGUAAC
rnacentral:rRNA from 1 species